UGUAAGCGUAUACCAAAGUUGUUGCAGUUAAAACGCUCGUAGUCGGAAUUUGGCAGUUCCGGAUGUGUGCACGUCGUGUGCGCACUUCGCGGGGAUUGCUUUUGUGGUCUUGCGUAGGAUGAGGCACUUUUAUUAGUGAACGUCCUCACGCAACCACUUUUUACUGUGAGAAAAUCAGAGUGCUCAAAGCAGGCAUUUGCCGUGAAUGUAUUAGCAUGGAAUAAUAGAAUAGGCCUUGGUUCUAUUUUGUUGGUUUGUUGGGACUGAGUAAUGAUUAAGAGGGACAGUUGGGGGCAUUUGUAUUUCGGUGCUAGAGGUGAAAUUCUUAGAUUACCGAAAGACAAACUGCUGCGAAAGCGUCUGCCAAGGAUGUUUUCAUUGA
rnacentral:rRNA from 1 species